GAAAAAGUACGCAAGAACUGCUAAUUCAUGCGUCCAUGCAUAAAAUCAU
rnacentral:tRNA from 1 species